GAGUUGACCGGGGCCUCACACCCCCCUAGGGACGGCCCUGCCCCUUGCAGGGGGCGCAGCCCGCGGAGGGGCCGGCCGAGGGAUAGGCCUGGCCGCCGGAGCUGGUGCGGCCGCCUAUGCAGCACGCAGCUGCCUAGGGCACCAUGAGAUUUGGGGCAAUUUCAUGGUGCCCUAGGCAGCUGCGUGCGCCUAAGGACGGGCCCUGCUCUGGGAACUCCACCAGCGGUAAAGUGAUAAUAGUUCCUUAAUUGUUCCUCUCCGCCUAAUGCUCCUUUCCUUAGUUAUCUGACGUAGAUUUCUCUUCCCGGGACCCACCAGCAAUAGUACAUGGCUUACGGUGGUCUGAGGGGCUCUCCUGGGUGCAGCCUUGUAGGGACGCGAAACGGAGGGGGGGGGGUAGACAGGGUUGCCCCCACCCCCCGAUUUGCUGCGUGGCUUGUACUGAGCAGGCGCACACAAACUGAGCAUGCUCAGUAACACUGCUGAAGCCGGCUGCCCUCACUCCACCCCACCCCUGUCGGUCAGGCCGGGGUCGCUUCACGUGCAGCAGCUGCCAGAAGCAUUCUGUCUAUGCAAAUGCUGAGGCAGGAAGAAUAUCUCUCGGGGGAUACUAGGGGGAGUGCGCUUGGAUGCAGCUUUUAACUCUUUUUCCGAGGUGCUGCAGGUGUUCCCUCCAGUACCCGUCUGAAGCUGCCAGCUGGUCUGCAGGAGGGGGAAUGCAAGCAUCAGCAUUUUGGCUGUCCCACAUGCAAAUAAUUAAGGGAGUGGUGGGAGUGGAGUCUCUUCCUCUUCUGCCUCUGCAUGGAGUAACCAGAAGCCAGCCCUAUUUUAUGAGUCUACUAAGACGGCUGCUACUCUGAAACCAGCAUACUAUGUGCAUCCACCCUGCGGGACUCAGAGGUACCAAGUAUGGUUGCAACAGAGGUCAGACAGUGCAAACAGUCAAGAAGCAGCUGCCUGAUGGAGCUCCGAAGUUCACGUCAUGCAGGCAUAACUGUAGGAGUAGAGCGGGGAGAGAUUAGGUGAAACAUUAGCCAUGUCCUCUUGGCUUCCCUCCAGAGUCUUUCAAUUAUUUCUUUAUGUGCUUUUGGUGCUGUGCUUAUUUGGUAUUUAAAAGGGACACUCUUAGAGGAUUUCACAAUGAUCUGCCAUUUCACAGUUCAAAACAGAUGUGAACUUAUCACCAAUGGAAAUUUAUGUCUCCACAAUCUGUUUCCUCACUUCUUCCUCAAGGCUCACAGCAAAAGUAACUCCAGGCAAAUCCAUCAUGAGGACUCAGUAAUACUCUAAAAAUAAUACAAGGUAUUAUGAUUUGAAAGCUGAAGCUCAUUUUGGGUACUUGAAACUCCAAGUGUUGGGUAUCAAUAUCAAUUUUUGUAGUAACUGGACUAUUGUGGCAUAUAUUGAAAGUGAAAGGCCAAAUAUAUUUUCUUUUUUGGUGGUUUUUUUUUUUUUUUUUUGGAACUCCCUUGCCUGUUUGACGGUGCACAACUUCCAGCUUCCUCCAAACCCCAAAAUGCUAAUUAAUUCGGUGUCCCCUUACCCCCAUAUCUAUUCAUCCCCCAUCCAGCAGUUAGUGAUACAACCCCCACAUCAAUUCUUCCUCCCAUGACCCAUAUCAAUUCUGCUCCUACUGCAGUCCCUGGGGGUGUAUUUUUGCUCCCCUUUCUCAGACCUGGGGGGCUGCAGCAGGAUCCCCUCUGCCCCUUCCCAGGCCUGGAUGUGGCAGCAACUCCAGGGAUUUUUCACCCCUCCUCUGGUGUUGCAUGGAUGGGGGCAGGAACAGAAGCAGAGAGUGUCCGAUUCAUUUUUCACAAGGGGGAGGGGGAAGGAGGAAGCCGAGCCCCCCAACCUGCUGGGCAUUUUCUGUUCCCUCCUCUCACCUAUCCUCCUGUGAGAAUGGUAUCAGCUGUUCCCUCUUCCCUACCCCCAAAGUCCUCUGGGAUCCUGGGGGAAAGCUCUGCCUGCUUCCUGUAGCAGCUCUGAUUGGCUGCUCAUCCCCAGGAGAUGGGCAAGUAGAGGAGGCAUCCAAUCAGAAGAGGCUUUCACCUAGUAGGGCUGAAAUUCCCUAGAGGGUGCUUUGCUGUUCCCACCAGACUAGCUCCAGCUGAAUCCUGUUUGUGAAGAAGUUGCAAGUUUGCAACACAGCAGUGCUUAUAUCUGGAACUCUUUAAUAGUUGCUGUGUUCAGCAUACUAUUGUGUUUAAAUCACAAAGACAAAGUAGUAGCAAUUUCCUUUUUAUUAGGGUUUCAAAUAGAACAGAUUGCGAACCACCUUCACAACAAUUUGGCUUGAAGUUAUGUUUCCUACGGCCAAAUCCUACAGCAGGGUCACAGAGGAUUUCAAAGGCAGAGAAAGGAGUGCAGUUACACUGGGUCUGUGACCAAGAGAAGCCACUCAAGGGGACUCUACUGCUCUCUAUGCAUGCUGUGGAGCAGUGCUCUGUGGUGGCUCACACCACGAAACAGGCAGCUUAGGUGGAAGACAAUAUGCAGGGUGGGGCUGUUCUGCAGACUCAUGACUCAUGGCUAUACAGAUCCACAGCAGAAGGGGUAGUCAGGGAUCACAUAUGCUGCUUCAAGAAAAGGAGUACUUGUGGCACCUUAGAGACUAACAAAUUUAUUAGAGCAUAAGCU